rnacentral:ncRNA from 1 species
GGCAGUCUACUCCACAACAAUAGCCUGCUGCGGCAAUAAUAAGGAGGAAAACAUUUCCGGGUGACUCCCGGUGCGGUAUUGUGGAGACAUACCGUAAUGCAUCCGCCAAGCCCGGCGGUUUGCGAGAAUGCGCAUUGGGAAUCCAGCGCAGUCAGAGUCGGAAAAGUAUGGCA